GCCUGGGUGGCGGAACUGGUAUACGCACAGGACUUAAAAUCCUGGGCCCGCGAGGGAUUGAGGGUUCGAGUCCCUCCCCAGGCA
rnacentral:tRNA from 1 species